UUUACCAAGAUGACUCUGCUAAACAAAAUCAGAAAACUUAUUUUUGAGUUCAACCAGAAAAACUUUAAACUUUACCUUCAAAAAUAAGUUUUCUGAUUUUGUUUAGCAGUGUCAUCUUGGUAAA